rnacentral:misc_RNA from 1 species
GGGAGAAGCAAUAGACAGCGCAGAUACAGACCGAACCAGAAAGGGAUGGAAGAAAUUAAAUUCAGAUUUUUUUUCCCUUAAGAAAGAACAGUGCUCCUUAUUUUGUCCCUCUUUCUUUCAUUAAUUCAGUUCUUCCCGUUUCUGCCGCCGGUAUCUCCUUGCCGCCACCAGCACUCUUCCUCGCUGCCACCGUCUAUUUUCCUUCCGAUGGCCAGAUGGGAUGAGAUCCUGUCCCUUCCAGUGCAAAAUCCUUCAACUUUGGAAUUUGCUGCUGCUGAUCUUGUGUGGUCAAAGAUUGAAGGCUGGCGUGACAAUAUAGAUAGACUUGCUCUUAUCCCUUUUGCUAGGGUAGAUGAUUUUGUGAGGGGUGAAUCAGCAAAUAAAGACUGUCCUACGAGAUUUCAUGUUGAAGCAAGAAGACGCCGGCCUCCAGAAACUGCUUACAAGCAAAAGGUUGAUGGGAUUCUUGAGUACAUACUGUAUUGGUGUUCAUUUGGUCCUGAUGAUCAUCGAAAAGGUGGCAUAGUACGACCAAGUAGGACUACUUAUGUCCCAAAGAAGAAAAAUGCUGGUCGACCAAAUACUAAAAGGGGGUGCACUUGCCACUUUAUUGUGAAGCGUUUAAUUGCUGAACCAUCAGUAGCACUUAUCAUAUAUAAUCAAGACAAGCAUGUGGAUAAGAAAGGGUUACCCUGCCAUGGCCCACAGGACAAGAAGGCUGAAGGAACCCGUGCCAUGUUUGCACCAUAUAUCUCAGAGGACCUUCGGCUUCGUGUUCUGUCUUUGCUAUAUGUUGGGGUUUCUGUGGAAACCAUAAUGCAAAGACAUAAUGAAUCGGUAGAGAAACAAGGUGGUCCAUGUAACCGUGACGACCUUUUAACUCAUAGGUAUGUGCGACGACAGGAAAGGAGCAUCCGCCGCUCUACGUAUGAACUGGAUACAGAUGAUUCAGUAAGCAUUAGCAUGUGGGUUGAAAGCCACCAGAGUCAUGUAUUCUUUUAUGAGGAUUUUUCUGAUUCAGAUCCUUUCACUUUGGGCAUUCAAACAGAAUGGCAGUUGCAGCAAAUGAUUCGUUUUGGCAAUCGCAGUCUUCUGGCUUCUGAUUCAAGGUUUGGAACGAACAAAUUGAAGUAUCCUGUUCACAGUCUAGUCGUGUUCAACUCAGACAAGAAGGCCAUUCCAGUAGCUUGGAUAAUAACACCGAGAUUUGCUACUGCAGAUGCACAUAGAUGGAUGAGAGCACUCUAUAAUAGGGUUCGCACAAAGGAUCCUACAUGGAAGUUGGCUGGGUUCAUAGUGGAUGAUCCUUUAACAGACAUCCUUACUAUCAGGGAUGUGUUUCAGUGCUCUGUAUUGAUAUCAUUUUGGCGGGUUCGUCAUGCAUGGCAGAAGAACUUAGUAAAAAGAUGCUCUGAAACUGAGAUGCGUGUUCAGAUGUUUAGACAGCUUGGAGAGGCAGUAGAUGAUAUUUGCAGAGGACAUGGAACAAAGGAUUUAUUUGAGGCUUUCAUGGAAGAUUUUAUUGACGGCUCUGAUUUCAUGGAUUACUUCAAAGCAGUCUGGCAUCCUAGAGUAGGGAUGUGGACGACUGUAUUGAAAACUCUUCCACUGGCCAGCCAGGAGACAUGUGCAGCAAUGGAACUGUACCACAACCAAUUGAAAGUAAGGUUACUGAAUGAAAAGGAUCCCAUUGUUUAUCAACGUGCUGACUGGUUGGUUGAUAAGUUGGGUACGAAAGUGCAUUCCUACUUCUGGCUUGAUGAGUACUCAGAAAAGGAUGAUUUUGCAAGAUACUGGAAAGAUGAGUGGGACAGUGGUUUAACAGCUUGGAGCAAAGCAUUAAAGAUUCCAGACCUUGAUGUCAUCAUAGAAGGUAGAUGUGCAAAAGUUACUGACCAGCUUGAUCGAGAUAGGGUUCAUGUUGUCUGGAACCCUGGUUCAGAUUUUGCUAUAUGUGAUUGCAAUUGGGCAGAAAUGGGUAACAUAUGUGAGCAUGUCUUUAAAGUUAUUAGCAUGUGCUACAACAAAGGGUAUAGGAAGCCAUCUAUUAGCCUAUUUCAGUUCAACCAGGCCUUGAUUGACAUGCUAUACUGUCCACCUCAUGAUUCUUUGAUUCGCGAUCAUGCUGUUUCUCUAGCAGUUGCUGUACAGAAGCAAUUAGAUGCACUAGUUGAUUUUGAUAAUGGCGAUAUUACUGUGGAUCCUAUUCAGAAAGAGGCUGUGGGCACUCUUGAGCAGACGGGUGGGAUGAAUUAUGCAAAUCAUGAUAGAGAAUUGGUGAAUGAGUGUCAUUUAAUUAAUGAAGAUGUAUCAUCCCAUAAUAGAGAUGAUUGUGGGGAUGGAGACAAGGGUCGUGGUGGUGUUACAGGUGAUUUUUGUGAGAGUAUUGGAGAAGAAACUACUUGCACUGAGAUGGAUGUUGACCCAUCAUCUAAUUGUAUUCCUUCACCCAGGUUAUGCUUAUUUGAGGACGUUGUGACUGAUGAUGUAUUCAUGGAAAAUAGAGGCAAGACUGUAAAUGAUACAGGUCCCAGCAUAAGCAAGAGCCCUCCUAAAGAUGAAGUGUUGACUGAUCAAGUUGGGCUUGAACAUGAUAGCAUAGUGCAUAUGGAACCACCAUCCAUGGAUAUUCCUCCAUCUCUGGCGGAGUUUAUGGGGCAAAGUGUCACUAAUCAAAAUAAUGUUUGCAGCAAUGGUUCUGAGCUAUCAGUAAUCACUAAUACAUCAGAUGCUGUUAUGGUAUAUAACAAGGCCUCCCCAUCAUUAUCCAAGGCUGUUGAGCCACAGAUGAUUGGCAUGAUUCCAACUUCAGGUACCAUGGAGCAUGAAGCGACAGAGCUAGAAAGUGAAAAUGGAAGCAAGGCUGAGAACCAUUGCUCUAUUAAUAAUGCUUUCUCAUUAAAUGGGGUGAAUGAUGAGGAGAUACAUAAUCCUGAUUGUGGUCGUGAUCCAAGUGCAGUUGACAACAUGAUAGAGUUAGAAUCACAGCUAAAUUCCUCAUCAACGUUUGAGUCACAGUGACAAACCACCACCUAUAGAGGCUACAAUUCAAGAAGCUGGUUCUCAUGAGGAAAAAUCGUUGAGACAUAAUUUGGUUUCAUCUAGUUGUACGCUUCAGAAAAGUGCUGCAACUGGAAAAAGUGAUACCAGCCAGUCAGAUAUUGUUGAUGGUACUGUUGUUAAGGGCAUCGACUCUGGAGGAACUGUGAAUGCUGCCUCUGUAGCAAGCAAGGGAUCUGAUAAAUGCCAUAGAGAUAUUGGUGUUGAAGCUAGCGAUGCCGAUGCCUAACAUUUGUUGAUACCGCGAUCCUUCUCGGCUGCAAGUUUUCAGUGGAGGAAGAGAGAGUGGUGAUAGAGUUGCAGGCACAGUUUGGGAACAAAUGGGCCAAAAUAGCGACGUAUUUGCCUGGUAGAACUGAUAAUGAUGUGAAGAAUUUCUGGAGUAGCAGACAGAAAAGGCUAGCAAGGAUUCUACAGACUUCAGCGACGCCUUCUUCUUCCUCCUCCUCUAACUCCAAGCCACGGAAGGUUAAAAAGGAAGUUCCUGCCUUUCAUGAUGUUCCCACUCUGCAGGCUCCAAUGUUCAGCUUUUCAAUGAAGGAAGAGUCAUCUACAAAGGCACAGUCGUGUUCAUCAUCCUACAUUGAAACCCCUGAGCCGGCCUCUAUAGUGCCAUUGCCAUUCCAUUCGGAUCUUGUUGUUAAGAACGAAUUGCCUAGCUAUGACGCAAAUCUUGCUCAAGUGGAGACCCAAACACAAAUUCCCUUCCCUCAAAUCUCACAACAUCAACCAGAACUUACAUUCUCUCCAGAAAGCCAGGAACUGUUGGCCAGACUUGAGGACCCUUUUCUAUUCAAUGUGUUUGGAGCAGUAGAUGCGCCUGAACUGGGAGCACAACUUUCCUUGGGGCCGCCAUUAUUUGAUCCGUUUUCAAGUUGCAUGAAUGGUGCGAGGGAAGUAAGGAGUCCUACAACUCGUGGUACCUUCUUUGAUGACUUCCCUUCUGACGUUUUUGACAAUAUUGAACCGCUUCCUAGCCCUUAGCAGUGGUCGAUUACAGAGCUGUUUUUAUCUCUAUAGUUAAAGAUGAACUCUUUAGCUAGUUUCUUUUGCUGCAAUUCAUAUGGCUUGUGACUGCUAUUCUUUGUACUAACCGCCUUUUGUAUUUGAAUAUAUCACUUUUCACAACUAUUUGUUUUACAAUAUACCAAAUUAUAAACUAUUUAUCAAAAAAUGUCAUCGAUAUAGGGCUAUUGGUGGUGUACUUUUGUAGUUCAGCCGGUGAGGCUUCAGGGGAAAACUAUCUGCCCCUAUCUUUUGUCAAAUGGGCCAAGCCACUUAUUUUUCUAGAUUUGUUGGCGUUGUAGCAUAAAAGUACAUGGUCUUGUACCAAUUGGCACGCUUUCUGGACGCUUGUGUUGAAGUUUGGGUUUUUG